rnacentral:rRNA from 1 species
GACGAACGCUGGCGGCGUGCUUAACACAUGCAAGUCGAACGGAAAGGCCUGCUUUCCCUUGUGGAUUGCGGGUACUCGAGUGGCGAACGGGUGAGUAACACGUGAGUGAUCUGCCCCCAACUUGGGUAUAAGCCUGGGCAACUGGGUCUAAUUCCCGAUAGGACUGCAGGGUGGUGCCUGUGGUGGAAAACGGUUUUCUAGUGGUUGGGGAUGAGCUCGCGGCCUAUCAGCUUGUUGGUGGGGUAAUGGCCUACCAAGGCGGCGACGGGUAGCCGGCCUGGGAGGGUGCACCGCCUCAUUGGGCCUGCGACCCCGCCCAGACUCCUGCGGCAGGACGCAGUGGUGAGUAUUGCGCCAUGGGGGCAAGACGGAUGCAGCGACGCCGCGUGGGGGAUGUCGGCCUUGGGGUUGUGAACUGCUUUCGGACGGGAGGAAGCCGCCUGGUUGGAAGGGUGGUGACGGUAGUGGUAGAAGAAGCCCCGUCUAACUACGUG